rnacentral:misc_RNA from 1 species
AAGUCGUAACAAGAUUUCCGUAGGUGAACCUGCGGAAGGAUCAUUAACACGUAUCCAAACGUUAAAAUUCCCCCCGUGAACCUUCUAACCCGCGUAGUUCGCAAUCUCUGAUAAAUCAUAGCCCGGAAAGUUGUAGUGAUUCAGAGACGUCUGGCUACGUGCGAACAUUGGUCGAGCGGUAGUUCUAUAGGCAAUGUUUGGAAAGUGUCAUUGAUUGUGCAAGGAUAGCGCUUCUACGAUUCCUGUGGACCCCAUGCCCCCUAAUAACCCCACAGUUUAAUGUGAAGCUCAAUGUAAUACAUUGGGUAAAAAAACCAAACAACUGUUAACAAUGGAUAUCUUGGUUUUC